UUUAAAAUAAUAUGUUUAGCUAUGGAACAGAGUAUAACUAUUCGAAACCCUACGAAAAUUCCUUGUCAAGUCAAAACGAAAACUAGAUAUCACGGCUAUUCUGUGCCGGGCAAAAUAGACAACGCCUACGGAGAUGACAUGGAAAUUGCAACGAUAAAACGUUGUUCGAUAUGGAUAGAAAGAGAUGACGAGAUUUCCUACGGGCAGGAUGAAUUCAAAGUGUCUGUAUGGGUGUUGGCCACGACUUGGGGUCGGUAUGAGGACGUGGUGACUAUUGAAUUACACGUAGGACUCGAUAUUCUACCGGCCAUCCACAUACCACUCAUCAUCAAAGCUAUUACGUUCCCCAUACAAUACCCUUUAGCUAAAGACGUUCACAAACCAACCAUCAACUUCAGCCUCUACUCGAUGGAGUCAGAAAACCGAUUACAAAUCUUGAAUAAUAGUGAAAUUCCGAUCAAAAUAUCUUGGCGCAUAUAUAACGAAAGUAAAGAAAAUAAACCGUUUGGAGUAUUAAUUGACACAUUAACUCCUGACUAUCCAGACCAUUGGUCUUUGAGAAUUACCAGUUACGACGGGUUAGAAAAUCCUCGAUAUUUUAUAAUCGAGCCUAUUAUUUUGAAAUUAGAACCAAAAACACUAGGAUAUGUAACAUUUUCCUUAGAUCGGACUAAAGAACUAUCCAUAAACCGUAAUAAAAAUAAUAAUAUAGUAAAUGGAAAAGCGGUUGGAAUAGUAACUGCUCUUGAACCAUCUGGAAAAUAUUGCAUAAGAAAAGACGGAUUUAAAAUGAAAUCCACAGUUGUAAAACUUUACUCUGAAACAAGACAUUCGAUACAACCAAACUUAGUCAUACGAGAGUCGGAUAAUAUUUUCCAAGUGUCAGCAUCGGAAAUGUAUAACUGUCGAUCAGAGAAUUAUACGGUAACUCGGUUGUUUACCAUGUGUAAUGACUUACAAUAUCCUGGAAACCUUUCAUUCGAAAUUGGUAGUCCAUUCUCCAUAAAGAGUUUGAGAUCACUAAGAUGUGGUAUUCGUUCCGGAAAAGAUCAUAUUCGUUUGUUUCAUAAGGAUUUGGUUGAAAUCGAACUGCAAGCUAUUAUAAAUAUAAAACAAGUUCAUCCGCCAAAAAUGCCUACUGAAUUAAUAUCACCCAGAAAAUUCGAGAGAACAGGAUACUUAAACGCUGUUUAUGAAAACAGUUAUUUUAAACCUAAGACGAUUGCUACGUUCAAAAUGCACAUAUACUUCCCCGUACUAAAGCUGUCGACGAGCUACAUAAAUUUUGGUCAAGUGGUCGUAACGGAGACUAAAAGCAUAAACGUGAUGUUAUCUUCUUAUCCAGGUCCUGAACGGUUUUUUGCACGAUCCGCAGACGAAGUGUUCACAGUAUCACCACCAGAUGGUGUCGCAUCGACCAGGCCGACCCCACUCACAAUCACGUUUAAACCCAAUGCAUUUUUAUGGGUUUUAAGUCACUUUUUCAACAUUUUAUCGAAUCAAGUUUGCACAUAUGACGUCAGUUGACGUGGAACAAAUUUUUUCGAGAUACAAAACAACACUGGCCGAUAACCAUCGAAGAUUUCUGUUUGAGAAUAUUAAGCAGCACCUGAUUAUACAGUGCUAUGAAACAUAAGGGUAAAAAGAAGAUGGACAGAAGAUAAUUGAGAGUAAAUUAAUUAAGGUUUUAUUGUAUUUAAAUAUUUUUUAUCAGAUUUUUCAUAAUAAUGUGUUUUUUUUAUAAGUUU
rnacentral:misc_RNA from 1 species